CUACGGGUCGCACCAGUGGGGAAUAUUGGACAAUGGGCGCAAGCCUGAUCCAGCAAUGCCGCGUGAGUGAUGAAGGCCCUAGGGUUGUAAAGCUCUUUUACCCGGGAAGAUAAUGACUGUACCGGGAGAAUAAGCCCCGGCUAACUCCGUGCCAGCAGCCGCGGUAAUACGGAGGGGGCUAGCGUUGUUCGGAAUUACUGGGCGUAAAGCGCACGUAGGCGGCUUUGUAAGUCAGAGGUGAAAGCCUGGAGCUCAACUCCAGAACUGCCUUUGAGACUGCAUCGCUUGAAUCCAGGAGAGGUCAGUGGAAUUCCGAGUGUAGAGGUGAAAUUCGUAGAUAUUCGGAAGGACACCAGUGGCGAAGGCGGCUGACUGGACUGGUAUUGACGCUGAGGUGCGAAAGCGUGGGGAGCAAACAGGAUUAGAUACCCUAGUAGUC
rnacentral:rRNA from 1 species